rnacentral:rRNA from 1 species
AUUGAACGCUGGCGGCGUGCUUAACACAUGCAAGUCGAUCGGUAACGCGGGGGCAACCCUGGCGACGAGAGGCGGACGGGUGAGGAACGCUUGGGAAUCUGCCUAACAGCGGGGGACAACACGGGGAAACUCGUGCUAAUACCGCAUACGCUCUACGGAGGAAAGCCGGGGACCGCAAGGCCUGGCACUGAUAGAUGAGCCCAAGCCGGAUUAGCUAGUUGGCGGGGUAACGGCCCACCAAGGCGACGAUCCGUAGCUGGUCUGAGAGGACGAUCAGCCACACUGGAACUGAGACACGGUCCAGACUCCUACGGGAGGCAGCAGUGGGGAAUAUUGGACAAUGGGGGAAACCCUGAUCCAGCGACGCCGCGUGGGUGAAGAAGGCCUGCGGGUUGUAAAGCCCUUUCGGUAGGGACGAAAGCUCUCGACCUAAUACGUCGGGAGGUUGACUUAACCUACAGAAGAAGCACCGGCUAACUCUGUGCCAGCAGCCGCAGUAAAAC